rnacentral:rRNA from 1 species
UACGAAGGGGCUAGCGUUGCUCGGAAUCACUGGGCGUAAAGGGUGCGUAGGCGGAUUUCUAAGUCAGGGGUGAAAGCCUGAGGCUCAACCUCAGAACUGCCUUUGAUACUGGAAGUCUUGAGACCGGAAGAGGUAAGUGGAACUGCGAGUGUAGAGGUGAAAUGCGUAGAUAUCAGGAGGAACACCGGUGGUGUAGACGGCUCUCUGGACCGUAACUGACGCUGAGGCACGAAAGCGUGGGUAGCAAACAGG